UACAGAGGGUGCGAGCGUUAAUCGGAAUUACUGGGCGUAAAGGGUUCGUAGGUGGCCAACUAAGUCAGACGUGAAAUCCCUCAGCUUAACUGGGGAACUGCGUCUGAGACUGGAUGGCUUGAGUGCAGGAGAGGAACGCGGAAUUCCAGGUGUAGCGGUGAAAUGCGUAGAUAUCUGGAGGAACACCUGUGGCGAAAGCGGCGCACUGGACCAUAACUGACGCUGAGGCGCGAAAGCUAGGGGAGCAAACAGG
rnacentral:rRNA from 1 species